GAGGGACCACUUAACUAAAAAGAAUCAGUUUAAUUUUGCUGCUGGACUUUCUGAAAAGCAUAAGUCAUUCUCUCAAGAACGUUUCUCUCUCUAGACCUCAUACUCUCCAUUUUUCCUCUGCCUUCUCUCUACCUUUUCUUUCAACUGAACCGUUAGAAUUUCAAUCCGUAGGCGUCUAAACGAUCCUGACGCUGAGAGCUUCAAUUGGCACCGAUCAAUUUCAGGAUUCAUUGAUGGUGCUGUUUAGAUUAUUCGCGUGUGAGAUACUGUAGUUGUGGAUCUCCGAGCUGAGUAAAGAAAUUUCAAGAUGUUGUUGAGGAGGUCUCCGUGGAGCAAGUGUUGGAGGACGCUGAUGCUGCUGCUUAGCUCUCUUUAGGAUUUCACUUAUUUAGCUUAUGUUAUUUUGAGAUACUUAUUAGAUUAUUUUGAAAUACUUUACUAUGAUUAAAGUUUUAAACUAGGCCAUUUUGUGAGACUGUAAUCCUCUAAUUAAUCGUAAGUCAUACUCUGAUUGUUCUCUUUAUUUGAAUGAUGACGCCUAUAUUAUA